rnacentral:rRNA from 1 species
AAGCGUCCGUAGGCGUCUUGAAAGUCUGAUGUAAAAGCACGGAGCUCAACUCCGUGUACGUGUCGGAAACUCUCGAGAUAGAGUCGUACAGAGGCAUCUGGAAUUUCGUGUGUAGGGGUAAAAUCCGUUGAUCCACGAAGGAACGCCAAAAGCGAAAGCAGGAUGCUGGGUACGUACUGACGCUGAGGGACGAAAGCGUGGGGAGCAAAGGGGAUUAGAUACCCCCGUAGUCCACGCCCUAAACGAUGCGAGCUCGGUGUUGGAACUUCAAUCAGUUCCAGUGCCCAAGUUAACACGUUAAGCUCGCCGCCUGAGGAGUACGAUCGCAAGAUUAAAACUCAAAGGAAUAGACGGGGACCCACACAAGCGGUGGAGCAUGGGGUUUAAUUCGAUAGUAAGCGGAGAACCUUACCUAGGCUUGACAUCUUUGGAAUCUCGCAGAAACGCGAGAGUGCCGCAAGGAACCAAAAGACAGGCGAUGCACGGUCGUCGUCAGCUCGUGCCUUGAGGUGUACUGUUAAGUCAGCAAACGAGCGCAACCCUCAUCCUAUGUUGCAUUUUCAUGGGAGACUGCCGCCUCCAAGGCGGAGGAAGGUGAGGAUGACGUCAGAUCAGCGUGUCCUUUAUGCCUAGGGCUACACCCGUGCUACAAUGGCCGGUACAGAGGGGAGCUGAGCCGCGAGGCCAUGCAAAUCCCAAAAAACCGGUCUCAGUUCGGAUUGAAGUCUGAAACCCGACUUCAUGAAGUUGGGAAUCGCUAGUAACCGUGAAUCAGCCACGUCACGGUGAAUAUGUUCCUGGGUCUUGUACUCACCGCCCGUCAAGUCAUGAAAGGCAGAAGCACCUGAAGGACCCUUACCGGCAACGGGGGGUACCACGGUGAAGCUGCUGAUUGGGACUAAGUCGUAACAAGGUAA